UUAAGCAUAUCAAUAAGCGGAGGAAAAGAAACCAACCGGGAUUGCCUUAGUAACGGCGAGUGAAGCGGCAAAAGCUCAAAUUUGAAAUCUGGUACCUUUGGUGCCCGAGUUGUAAUUUGGAGAGGGCAACUUUGGGACCGUUCCUUGUCUAUGUUCCUUGGAACAGGACGUCAUAGAGGGUGAGAAUCCCGUGUGGCGAGGAGUGCGGUUCUAUGUAAAGUGCCUUCGAAGAGUCGAGUUGUUUGGGAAUGCAGCUCUAAGUGGGUGGUAAAUUCCAUCUAAAGCUAAAUAUUGGCGAGAGACCGAUAGCGAACAAGUACAGUGAUGGAAAGAUGAAAAGAACUUUGAAAAGAGAGUGAAAAAGUACGUGAAAUUGUUGAAAGGGAAGGGCAUUUGAUCAGACAUGGUGUUUUGCGCCCUCUGCUCCUUGUGGGUGGGGGAAUCUCGCAGUUCACUGGGCCAGCAUCAGUUUUGGUGGCAGGAUAAAUCCGUAGGAAUGUAACUUGCUUCGGGAAGUAUUAUAGCCUAUGGGAAUACUGCCAGCUGGGACUGAGGACUGCGACGUAAGUCAAGGAUGCUGGCAUAAUGGUUAUAUGCCGCCCG
rnacentral:rRNA from 1 species